UGGGGAAUCUUGCACAAUGGGGGAAACCCUGAUGCAGCGACGCCGCGUGAGCGAUGAAGGUUUUCGAAUCGUAAAGCUCUGUCCUAUGGGAAGAUAAUGACGGUACCAUAGGAGGAAGCCCCGGCUAACUACGUGCCAGCAGCCGCGGUAAUACGUAGGGGGCGAGCGUUGUCCGGAAUUACUGGGCGUAAAGGGUUCGCAGGCGGCAUGACAAGUCCGAUGUAAAAGGCGAAAGCUCAACUUUCGUAAGCAUCGGAAACUGUCAAGCUUGAGUGAAGGUGAGGCAAGUGGAAUUCCUAGUGUAGCGGUGGAAUGCGUAGAUAUUAGGAGGAAUACCGGUGGCGAAGGCGACUUGCUGGACUUCAACUGACGCUGAGGAACGAAAGCGUGGGUAGCAAACAGG
rnacentral:rRNA from 1 species